UGGAAGUGUAUUGUUGGGCAUUACAAAAAAAAACAUGCCAAAAAUACCCCCCAAAACCCCAGCAGCAAUUAAAAAAAAAACACCAAAUAUACCCGCAAAAAACAGCAGCAAAUAAAAAAAACAACAACAAAAAACACGCCAAAAAUACCCGCAAAAAACCCAGCAGCAAGUAAAAAAAAAAUAAUAA